rnacentral:tRNA from 1 species
GAAAAGAAGUUUGUUGGCUUCUAACCUUCAUUGUGCUGCUUAGCUCUUUUCU